rnacentral:rRNA from 1 species
UAGUCCACGCCGUAAACGAUGGAUACUAGGUGUCCGGGAUAUUAACCUCCUGGGUACUACAGUCAACGCGUUAAGUAUCCCGCCUGGGGAGUACGGUCGCAAGGCUAAAACUCAAAGGAAUUGACGGGGGCCCGCACAAGCGGUGGAGUAUGUGGUUUAAUUCGAUGCAACGCGAAGAACCUUACCUACCCUUGACAUCAUCAGAACUUGUCGGAGAUGACUCGGUGCCUUCGGGAACUGAUUGACAGGUGCUGCAUGGCUGUCGUCAGCUUGUGUCGUGAGAUGUUGGGUUAAGUCCCGUAACGAGCGCAACCCCUAUUUUCAGUUGCCAGCAUGUAAUGAUGGGGACUCUGGAAGACUGCCUACGCAAGUAGAGAGGAAGGCGGGGACGACGUCAAAUCAUCAUGGCCUUUAAUGCCUAGGGCUACACACGUGCUACAAUGGCAGGUACAAAGGGUAGCGAAGCCGCGAGGUGGAGCCAAUCUCAUAAAGCCUGUCCCAGUUCGG